rnacentral:misc_RNA from 1 species
AACGCACAUUGCGCCCUUUGGUAUUCCUUAGGGCAUGCCUGUUCGAGCGUCAUUUAACGACUCAAGCUCAGCUUGGUGAUGGGCGCCUGUCCCCCCCGCCCCAUGCGGGGGACUCGCCUCAAAGUCAUUGGCGGCCGUCACGUUGGCUUCGAGCGCAGCAGAAACGCGAUACUCGAGGUCCGGCGGGACGCGCCCCCCAGGAAGUUCCUUUCUCAGUUUGACCUCGGAUCAGGUAGGGAUACCCGCUGAACUUAA